CAAAGAUGGUGCUUACCUCAGCAACGUCUUUGAAAGUAGGCAUUCUAAGACGUUGCUGAAGUAAGCACCGUCUUUGAAUGCCUACUUUCAAAGACGUUGUUGAGGUAAGCACCGCCUUU
rnacentral:pre_miRNA from 1 species